UACGGGGGGAGCAAGCGUUGUUCGGAUUUACUGGGCGUAAAGGGCGCGUAGGCGGCCGUGUAAGUCACUUGUGAAAUCCCGGGGCUCAACUCCGGGGCUGCAGGUGAGACUGCGUGGCUAGAGCUUGGUAGAGGCGAGUGGAAUUCCCGGUGUAGCGGUGGAAUGCGUAGAUAUCGGGAAGAACACCGGUGGCGAAGGCGGCUCGCUGGGCCAAUGCUGACGCUGAGGCGCGAAAGCGUGGGGAGCAAACAGG
rnacentral:rRNA from 1 species